GGGCCUGUAGCUCAUCUGGUAGAGCGCAGCAUUCGCAUUGCUGAGGUAAGGGGUUCGACUCCCCUCAGGUCCA
rnacentral:tRNA from 1 species